CGAUCAGAGACACAGAGGGCACAUACAGAUACUUGUAGACCCCCACGGAUAUGCCCUCCCUCCCUCCCUCCCCCAAGCCAUCCUGGCUUUCCACAUGUCAGUUGAUUUGGCUCCACCAGCUCCUGUACUGGUCCCCGGGCCGGGUUGCACUGGGUAUUGGCCCGGCUGGGGAAGCGGAGACGAAGGGACGAUUCUUAGGUGACUCCUCGCCAGGGCUCAGAUUUUCCGGUGCCAGGGUUGCCGUAAACACAGGCAUUUCCGGAUCCUACCAGCAGGGGGCAGACUGGCUCCAUCCAGCCAUCCUCAGAGGAGGAACCAGAGGCUCAGAGAAAGAAAGGGACAUAGUGAGCAGGGUCAGACUGGGACCCGAACCCAGGAGUCCUGAUUCUGAAGAAGUCCCAGAUCCUUGACUUGACUUUGACUUUUCCCCAUGAUUGGAGACUGGCUGCUCUGGAGGGAACAUGAGGACAAAGAGAUGCCCAGAUGCUUGUGGAUUUGGAGAAAGGCUUACAGACCUAUUUGCCCCCUUUGUGGAAUGAAGAAACCAAUACCAGAGACUUGGAACACUGACAAAGCCACGAGAGGGAUAAAUAAACGUACAGAUCUGGCUGGGAGUCAUCUAUUCUGAGAAACAAUACAGACAUAGCCCCAUCUUGGCAUUGUGAGUCAUGCGGACUGUAAAGUUUCUGGGUAAAGAUGAGCCCCAUGAAAUGGCAGGAUUGCUUGACACUCUUUAGAAGGUGGAGGAGCUUGGAUGUAAACCUGACUAGGUAAAAUGGAUCCAGUGUUCACAGGGUCAGAGAUUUAAAGCUGGAAGGUGUGCAAAGAUACUUACUGCCUAUGAAUAUAAGAUAAUUGAAUCUACUUUCUUUCAGAAAUUCUU